rnacentral:rRNA from 1 species
GCAUAGGUGGGAGACUGAGAAGCCUGGACGCCAGUCUAGGUGGAGUCGCCGUUGGGAUACCACCCUUGUCGUACUGAGAUUCUAACCCGCACCCCUGAUCGGGGUGGGAGACAGUGUCAGGUGGGCAGUUUGACUGGGGCGGUCGCCUCCCAAAGCGUAACGGAGGCGCCCAAAGGUUCCCUCAGAAUGGUUGGAAAUCAUUCGUAGAGUGUAAAGGCAGAAGGGAGCUUGACUGCGAGACCUACAAGUCGAGCAGGGACGAAGUCGGGCUUAGUGAUCCGGUGGUUCCGAAUGGAAGGGCCAUCGCUCAACGGAUAAAAGCUACCCCGGGGAUAACAGGCUUAUCUCCCCCAAGAGUCCACAUCGACGGGGAGGUUUGGCACCUCGAUGUCGGCUCAUCGCAUCCUGGGGCUGUAGUCGGUCCCAAGGGUUGGGCUGUUCGCCCAUUAAAGCGGUACGCGAGCUGGGUUCAGAACGUCGUGAGACAGUUCGGUCCCUAUCCGUCGCGGGCGUAGGAAUUUGAGAGGAGCUGUCCUUAGUACGAGAGGACCGGGAUGGACGCACCGCUGGUGUACCAGUUGUUCCGCCAGGAGCACAGCUGGGUAGCUAUGUGCGGAAGGGAUAAGCGCUGAAAGCAUCUAAGCGUGAAGCCCCCCUCAAGAUGAGAUUUCCCAUCGCGUCAAGCGAGUAAGAUCCCUUGAAGAUGACAAGGUAGAUAGGUCCGAGGUGGAAGCGUGGCGACACGUGCAGCUGACGGAUACUAAUCGAUCGAGGACUUAACUAAA